GAGUUGAGACCUGCAAGGCCGAUGAGGUUGGCUGGCCCGCCCUGCCCGUCCUGGUAGUGCAGGUAGAAGGGAGAGAGAGAGAAACAUCCGUGAUGAGAAUCUGAUCAGGUCGAUGGUCAAACACCGAGCCAGCCGGCCGGGCUGACUGGUGCCUUUCUUGGUGAAGACCUGGGGUGUCACAGUUGGUUGGGGCUUUGCUGGAAUAACGGUGUGUUGUCAGCCUUUACAAAUCAUCGGGAGCCAGGACGGUCCACGUUCACCCGGGUGCGACAAACAUGGAGGGAUGCCCAGUGGCCCAGGAGGCCACAGGCACUCGGCUCCUGACCUCCCCUCGCUGUGCAGCACGGGAAGGAGGGAUGAGCUGGUGGCACCGGCUGGAACAAGUCGGGGAGAGGAUACCAGACCCGAACUCUGCUGAAACAGCCCCGUGGAGGCAGCGGGGGUGCAGGGUGGUCCCCGGGACGCACCCAGGGAGAGGCGUCAGGACGGGGACCGCGUGGAGACAGCGGGGGUGCAGAGUGG